rnacentral:rRNA from 1 species
UACGGGGGGGGGCAAGCGUUGUUCGGAAUUACUGGGCGUAAAGGGCUCGUAGGCGGCCAACUAAGUCAGACGUGAAAUCCCUCGGCUUAACCGGGGAACUGCGUCUGAUACUGGAUGGCUUGAGUUUGGGAGAGGGAUGCGGAAUUCCAGGUGUAGCGGUGAAAUGCGUAGAUAUCUGGAGGAACACCGGGUGGCGAAGGCGGCAUCC